GCAUUGGUAGUUCAGUGGUAGAAUUCUCACCUUCCAUGUGGGAGACCCAGGUUCAAUUCUUGGUCAGUAUG
rnacentral:tRNA from 1 species